UAAGGUUAGAUUAGUAAUUUAACUCACGCGAAUGACCUCCUCUCACAAACAUUCUUUUUCGUAAUUCUUUCUCUCUCUCCUUUCAACUUUCUCUCUCCUCAUGCGGACUCUCGCCAUUUUCUCCCUCCUCUCGUUCUUCUACAUCUCUCGUGCCAACCUUAGAAGAUUCAAUUUAUUCAUUGUCAUCACAAAUCUGUGGUCUGGGACUGCAGUGGAAAGAGUUGUAGCUGCUGGAGUGGUGCCGUGAAAGACUGGAUGGGAGGCGGGUGUUGCUGAGAUGGCUACUGCAAGGCGGGGUAUAUUAAUUGCUUCUAGACUGGGGUAUGAGAAAGUGGUGAUUGAAACGGAUCCCUUUGGUUUCUACUGCUGCUGGUAAAGGUUGAUAGGCAUAAGGGUUGAUGUUCAGUAGAUCAGCCUCUAAUCUGUUUGCUACUGGUCUGUUGCUAUAGUCUUAUUAUCCUUUGGUGUUGUUAGGUUAGGUACUACAACUGAUGAAUCUGACAGGUUGGGGAUUUUCAGUCUGCCAGUUUUAUUUGAAUUCUAAAAGUGAUACUGUAUCUGAUUAAAACCAGAAUCACGCGAUGGUAAAUAAGAAGCAAAGUCCAAAAGUGGUGAAUUUUGUUGGUUGACAUUGUUGAUCAAAUAGUUGAGGUAUUAUGUAAAAUACAUAGCCUUUACUUUUGAACUA